rnacentral:lncRNA from 1 species
UUGGAAGGCAAGACUGAGGGCCCGGACCCUUCUAGGAGGCUGCGGCAGUGAUCCAAAGGACAGACAAUGGUGGCCAAACUGAAGCAAAGGAAUUGGAAAAACGUAGAUGGGACUGAGAGAUACUUCGGGGGUGGAACGGAGAGGGUGUCGAAGAUAAACAAAGUCGGCCAUUAGGGUGAAUUGUGGGAGCACACAUCCCAGGGAGGAAAGAUCAGAAACUUCUCAAUGUCCACUCACGUCAACGUCCAAGCUGUGUGUGCCCCUCGAGCGUUACCGAAGGGGAUGUGUGCACAGAGGCUCUGGAACACUCUUUGGAUCACAAGAAAAAAUAUGAAACUUGGACCCUGACCUCAAGGAGUUGAUGAUUCAUCAUAGGUAUUCUCUAUGACUCCUUUUUCAUCGUGAAGGUCCAUUGGCAAUCUUCCUGGAUUGUGUGAAUCCUCCGAACAGAAAUUUGCCUCCCCGUGUUCUUAUAUGUGCAUUUUGG